rnacentral:rRNA from 1 species
AUUGAACGCUGGCGGCGUGCCUAACACAUGCAAGUCGAGCGGUAACAGGUGUAGCAAUACAUGCUGACGAGCGGCGGACGGGUGAGUAACGCUUGGGAAUCUGCCUGUUAGUGGGGGACAACCCGGGGAAACUCGGGCUAAUACCGCAUACGCACUACGGUGGAAAGCCGGGGACCGCAAGGCCUGGCGCUAACAGAUGAGCCCAAGUCGGAUUAGCUAGUUGGUAGGGAACGGCCUACCAAGGCGACGAUCCGUAACUGGUCUGAGAGGACGACCAGUCACACCGGAACUGAGACACGGUCCGGACUCCUACGGGAGGCAGCAGUGGGGAAUAUUGGACAAUGGGCGAAAGCCUGAUCCAGCGACGCCGCGUGGGUGAAGAAGGCCUGCGGGUUGUAAAGCCCUUUCGGUGGGGAAGAAAAGCCUCGAGUUAAUACCUCGGGGUCUUGACGUAACCCAUAGAAGAAGCACCGGCUAACUCUGUGCCAGCCGCCGCCGUAAC